CCCUUCGAUGUUCUGGGCCGCACGCGCGCUACACUGACGAAUUCAACGAGCUUUUACUAUAUUUGUAGUAAAUUCCUUUAUCGGAAGAUAUGGGUAAUCUUUAAAUGUUUGUCGUGAUGGGGCUAGAUUUUUGCAAUUAUUAAUCUCCAACGAGGAAUUCCUAGUAAACGCAAGUCAUCAGCUUGCAUUGAAUACGUCCCUGCCCUUUGUACACACCGCCCGUCGCACCUACCGAUUGAGUGAUCCGGUGAAUAAUUCGGACUGCGGCAUUGACCGGUUCCCGAUCGUUGCUGCGGAAAGUUUAGUGAACCUUAUCACUUAGAGGAAGGAGAAGUCGUAACA
rnacentral:rRNA from 1 species